UAUACCCAUAGAGGUGUUGCAUGUUUGGCUACUACGUCACAUGUGCCAUUAGUAGGUGGUAGAGAAGAGAGAGGCUAUCUCUACACUGAGUGUUCUGACCGGGAACAUCUGAAUGAUUACUAGCCUAACACU